CCUGGCUCUAUUGUCCUGUACCCAGGAUAAUAAGUUUAAUCAGCACCAAUAGGACCCAGUUCAAAGGAGCAAGUCUGUGAUAUAUACUGGCUUUAAGUAAUAUAAUACAGAGAACAGUCUGAUUUCACCUAUUUUUUGCCCGAUUUGAACUUUAUUUAUUUUUUUACUUUUCAUUUUUUUAGCUAUCUAUGAAUGGUUUAUUGUGACCUAGAAACAGUCGCUUUGGAAACAAACCCUUGAUACUUGUAAUUCCCAAGCAGGCAGUUCUCAGGCUCUGCCCACUCCUAUACAGAGAGUCUGCAGAGCCAUAUCUCCCCAGGUUCUUAAGGAGUUCUUAUUUCAAAAUAAUUGUUUGCUGAUUUGCAUAGAAAUAUUUUCUAUGGAAGAAUCAUGCUUGGGGUUUCACUGUUGUGUUUUUGCUCUGGUCUUAGAGAUUACCACAUGCUUCCCUCACCCCCAUUCCUUAAAUUUUAAUUUUUUAUUGGAUAUUUUUUAUUUACAUUUCAUCUAAUUCUGAGUUCAUGAGCUCAGAUGGUUAUUUUUUCCAUGGGCCAUGCCCUACCACAGGCUGGAUGUUGAAUUGCCUAUACUUCAAUCUGAACGUGGGAUGAGAAUGAUGGCUGUGCAUUAAAUGAACAACUCAAUAUGUGACGCCAUGGAGAAGUACAAGGAGCUCAUACAAGAGAACAAUUCCUACACAUCAGGCACUUCCAGCUCCUGCGUGAACGGACUCCAUAGAAGAACAAUAUAAAGAUUUUGCUGUAUGAGAACAAAAAACUGAUGGUGGAGCAGACUGUUCUGCCAGCAUCCUGUGUGGAGGCAAAGAGGUUCUGUGAAGAGGCCGGAAUGAACAUCUGUGUCCCCAGAGCCAAGCAGUUGCAGGUCCAGCAAGUAUCUGCAUAGCAAGAUUUCCUGAAGUGGAAAUGAGUACAGGCCAGGGCAGCACAGCCUGCUUGACUGUAAGAGACUUGUACAUAACAUAGCUCCCACUAAUUCUUCAUUCAACAGAAAACCUGCUGGAUAAAAGGUAUGUUUUCCUUAGUGUGUGUGUGUUUGUGUGUGUGUGUGUGUGUGUGUGUGUGUGUG
ensembl:lncRNA